GUUGCUGUGACCAACAUGGCAUUGUGAUUCUUUUGGGCUUGCUUCAGUUCUGAACUUUUCCAGCUUUGCUGUGCCAUUUUUGUCGCUUGCUUUGUUCAAUUUUUGGUGGUUAAAAGGGGAUUGAGGAGAGUUCCUAUUACGGACAUGAUUAAAUUUAAGUAUUAUUGUGGGAACUUGUCAAAUAGCACCGCAGACCCUGUCCCUCCAGCUGAGCAGUGAAGAGCCUCAGUGAAGAUCCAGAACCUCUAAAUCUAUUUUGAAUAGUUGUUAACUA